GCAGCACGACUCUAUAUAACUCCAAAUCUUCACAAGACAAUCACCAUCUUCCCCUUUCUUCAAUAACCAUUUCCCUCAAAACUCUCUUGAAUUCAUAGAUUUUUAGAAAACCUAUUUUUUCCCUUUUCGACUUUCUCAUCUAAGUUAAAUUCGAUUUGGCUUGAAAUUUACGUUGAUUGUUUACUUUUGACAAGAGCAAACUUUUAACGUCAAUUUCGGACCAUUUCGAACUCAUCGAGAUUUGGUCAAGGCGUCAUUGAUUGACUAGUUUUCAUCCUCUGACCUUUGAUGGCCGGAAAUAAUUGUUUGCCAUUAGUCAAAUUGGUAUAUCUCUUUUCCCUUUUCUGUGAUUUUUCAAUACUAUUGUUUCACCGGCUAAGAAUGUUUUGAUUAAUAAGCCAGAUUAAUUGGUAUCUAUUUGUUAGAUUUAAUUAAUAACAUAUUUUUUAGUUAGGUUUUAAUUGCAAUUUGUUAUAAGUUUGUUCGAUUUGUUAAUUUUGAUGGUUGCUGAGCGUCGGGUGGCCAUAUUUGUAAGCAUAUACUAUGUUUGGUUUGUGUUUGUCCUGAUUAACAGGCAGGCCCAUUGAAUUUGAGUUUUUGGUAGGGGAAGAUAGGAGGCAUGGGCUUAUCAGCCAAAGACCCAGGCAGAGUUCAAUGUUUAGAUGUGAUUUACAAGAUUUGAGGGGUUUCAAUUGAAAGAUUAAUUUUAAGAGAAUCUUUCUGUUAUGUAAGAUCCUUCUAUGCAAGGAUUAAAAUGCAUAUCUGUCCUUUUCUGUUAAAAAAGAUGUCGUUUUCUAAUUUUUAGGGAGCUUGAUAUAUUCCCCUACUCCUCUUUGAUUUUUCUCUCAUAACAGCACACCCUUAUAUUAUAUAAAGACCCUUCCCCCUGCAUUUCAUAGGGACAGAGAUAUACACACUAACCUGGGCUUUUCACGCACAGAAUCCACCCUUAGAAUUUCCAUUUUCUCUGCAAGUCUAGCCUUCUUCAUACAUUCAUAUACACCCAUAGAAACUCAUAUCGAUCUGACUCUACCUCACUCUCAUUGAAAAGUUGAAAACUGAAGGAAAACUUGGAAUUCUAAAAAGAGGUUUGAAGAAAACUGAUUUCAAAGAUCAACUUCUUUUCUUCCUGGAUUUUUAUAAGUUGUAGAAGGUCACUUUUGUGAUUGUUGUUGUUGCUCCUGUUGAAUCUAUUGUGCUGGGUUUCACAUUUAAAGACUUCUAGCCUUUAUUUGGCCUCUUGAAAUCUAUUUCCAUUUUGCCGCUAGGUAUGUUUCGUUCAUCUGCAACCACCUAUUUGGAUUGGUAAAUGAAGGUUAAAUUGUUCAAGUCACAUCUAUGCUUAAUCUCAUGAAUUCAAACGUGUUUAAUCGUUAAAGUUGCUUGUACUUGUAUUGUUUACCAACAAUUGUUUUGAUUGAUUUUUUUUAGCUGAACCUUAAGCUGAUUUUGUUAUUUACAACUGAUCCUGUUGAAGCACACAAUGAACUAUGUUAAGAAGUUAGUUGUUACUUGCAAUACGGGAAUUAAGUCACUUUGAACUUUAGUUAAUUGCUCUAUUUGUUAGUUGUGAUGAAUCUACAAGCUUAAUCUGGUAGAGUGACUUUAUGGUCUUUUCAUUUAAACUUAGAAUUCGCUAGGAAGGAUGCCAGGUCAUAUGGACUAGACUGGAUUUUUUCUAUUAUAUCAUAGAGUCAGUGUAAUUGAAGCAUAGAUUUAUAUAUUUUAUUAUAAAACUUUGU
rnacentral:lncRNA from 1 species